rnacentral:lncRNA from 1 species
CCAUUUUCUGUAAGCGAUGGUCAUUGGUCAAUCGUCAGUUCGUCACCACGGCAUCAGUGCAUCAUUCAGUAGUCAGUAAGUAGUCAACUCUCACAAGUCUGGCCGGAAUUUAAAAAAUUUCUGGACAAAAUAACAACAUCACAUCGCAGUCUCGUGGACAUCACCACUUAGGUAAAGAAAAUAAAAAAAAAACUGACACAUGAAAGAACGAGAAACUCAGGUGCAGUAAAGCAAACACAACUGGCUCCAACUUCCAAAUCCUGCCCCGUUGCCGGAUCCGGACAACGUACGGACUUCAGAGUCUUCAGAGAGACCAACGAUGCGACUCCUGCGUCGGCGCCGGAGGACGUGCAUCGAAGAAGACACCCAACACGAUGGGCUCAAAACAUAGCCACCGCUGCCACCACGACCACGGCCGGCCAAGCGAGCGGCAAGGCAGCAGCUGCAGCGGCAUUACUGUUCUCGGCCGCGGGUGAC